AGCUCUUACUGUUCAUGUGCGUGAAGAUACGUG
rnacentral:rRNA from 1 species